AAAGUCGUUGAAUUAAUUAUUUUACAAUUGUUUAAAUAUAUGAGAGAAUGUUUUAGGCAAAUUGUCUUUAUUUACAGAUAAAUGUAUUUAAGUUCAGGAAAUGAUUUAUUCUUCUGGCGGCUUCAAAUAUUUUUUUAUCAAUAACUUAUACACAAGGAGACAUUUUUGACUUUUGACAGCAUGAACCGCAAUUAAUUAGCAAACACAAAUUAAGACACAAAAUCGUUUACAAAUAAAUUUUAUAGAUUCAGAUUCAUUCAAUAGUUUAUUAUAGAAGGAAAAGGGGGGGG
rnacentral:lncRNA from 1 species